GCGCUCAGAUGCCCCAGCUCAGCCGAGAGGCCGCUCGCGCCGGGUCCUUCCUCUUCCCCAAGUGCAGGCAGAGCCCCCGGAGCCAUGGCCAGUCCUUCCGGCAGCUCCGAAGCCACUGGCAAGACCCGAGGCAGGGAUGGCCGGCCCAGGAGGGAGGAGGACGACGUCCCUCCCGAGGAGAAGAGGCUGCGGCUGUUGCUGGAGGGAGGGGGGAAGGGCACAGCCCGAGGACUGCGAGGACGGAGAGGACGCGCCGCGGCCGGGCAGGGAGGAGACCGGCACCCAGACAGGUGGCGACGGCAGAGGAAUAACCUUCACUCUUCUCUGCAACGAAUCCCAAAAGUAUGUAGUUGAGCUGACUGCAAGGUGCUUGAGACGCAAGAGACUCCACAAAUGGGAUUCGGCCUCUGGAAAGUGGUGGUAAUUCCAGAUUUAUGUGGCUGUUACUUUGUUUUUCCCUAUAAAAUACAUUCUUUAAACUAUCAA
rnacentral:lncRNA from 1 species